CGGUCGGUCGCGGCCGGGUGCCGCGGUGCGGCGUGUUCAGCGCCCUGUAGCUGUCCGGCCUGGAUUUACGCCGUGCUGCCCGCCCUGUGCGAGUGCUGAGGCCUUGAGAGGCAGCGGCGGAGGGAGCCUCAAGCGCCGCGGCUCGCCUGGUGCGGCGGUGGGGACAGGGCUGCCGUCCGUGGGCCCGUGGCACGUUUCUGUCCAUGGGUAUUGAAAAACCCGGUUCUGUCAGUGCAGCUGCUUGAGACUGCACAGGCGUCGUGUGAGUAAAGGCACAGGGCUUGGCGUGGCUGCGGCAGGUGUAAAACUUCUUGAGUCACUCUUGAGAGCGCAGGGGAAUUGGUGACCUGUGCACGGCACUAUGGGCUUUCAACUCGAAGUAAUAACUCCUGAACGCUGGUCAGAACAACCCUCAGUACCAUUCCAGGUCGGGGAACGAUAAUAUUGAGAGCAGCCCUGCAGAGAAGGACUUGAGAGUACUGGCGGAUGAGAAGUUUGACAUGAGCCAGCAAGCCCAAAUGUCAUUCUGGGCCGCGUCAAAAGAAGCGUCGCCAGCAGGGUUUGGCUGUACAUCCAAAGCCCUGCCCUGUGAAGCCAGGAUGAGGGGAAGCGGAGAAGCUGUGAUAGAGGGAAUCAGGGGAAGACAUCUCCCUGCUCCCAGGGCUGUCGUUGGUGGACUCAGGCAAGUCCUUCUCCCAGGCUGCAUGCCCUGCCAGCUCUGUCCAGAUGAAGGGGUUGAAAGAACAUUGAAACUAGAGGGAAGGCAAUAGAUCAAGUAUGUGAAAAAGCAAUGCAUGCUCUGCCUCUCUUGUGAAAAAGGUAGAUCUAGUUUCUGGAAAGUUUUGGAGGCACACAGCCUAUUAAAUCUUCUGCACAUGUUGCUGGCAACAUUAAAGUUGCUU